ACAUCCCAACUCAUAGGGACUACCCCUGAAUUAAGCAUAUUAAUUAGGGGAGAAAAAACUAACAAGGAUUUCUUAGUACGGCGAGCGAAGAAAAAACAGUUAGCACUAAGUCACUUUGUCUAUAUGGCAAAUGUGAGAUGCAGUGUAUGGAGCGUCAAUAUUCUAGUAUGAGAAAUUAAUGAUUUAAGUCCUUUAAAUGAGGCAUUUACCCAUAGAGGGUGCCAGCCCGUAUAACGUUAAUGAUUGCUAGAUGAUUUUCCAAAGAGUGUUGCUGAUAGUGCAGCACUAAGUGGGUGGUAACUCCAUCUAAACUAAAUAUAAACAUGAGACCGAAGUAAACAAGUACCGUGAGGGAAGUUGAAAAGAACUCUGAAUAGAGAGUUAAACAGUACGUGAAACUGCUUAGAGGUUAAGCCCGAUGAACCUGAAUAUCCGUAUGGAAAAUUCAUCAUUAAAAUUGUAAUAUUUAAUAUAUUUAAGAAUAAUGUGCAUUUUUUCCAUAUAAGGACAUUGUAAUCUAUUAGAUAUCCCAAAUUUAUCAUAAAUAUAAUAUAGUUUAUUCCAAUAAUGCUUCAUUUAACACAGAAUAAAUGUAUUAAUUGAUAAAGUGCUGAUAGAUUUAUAUUAUUACAGAGCGUUAAUUUUUCGGAAUUAUAUAAUGGCAUAAUUAUCAUUGAUUUUUGUGUUAUUAUAUGCUCUUGUAUGAUUAACAAUGCGAAAGAUUCAGGAUACCUUCGGGACCCGUCUUGAAACACGGACCAAGGAGUCUAACAUAUGUGCAAGUUAUUGGGAUGUAAACCUAAUAGCGUAAUUAACUUGACUAAUAAUGGGAUAGUUUUUUAGCUAUUUAUAGCUAAUUAACACAAUCCGGGCGUUCUAUAUAGUUAUGUAUAAUGUAUAUUUAUAUUAUUUAUGCCUUAACUGGAACGUACCUUGAGCAUAUAUGCUGUGACCCGAAAGAUGGUGAACUAUACUGAUCAGGUUGAAGUCAGGGGAAACCCUGAUGGAAGACCGAAACAGUUCUGACGUGCAAAUCGAUUGUCAGAAUUGAGUAUAGGGGCGAAAAGACCAAUCGAACCAUCUAGUAGCUGUUCUUCCGAAGUUUCCCUCAGGAUAGCUGGUGCAUUUUAAUAUUAUAUAAAAUAAUCUUAUCUGGUAAAGCGAAUGAUUAGAGGCCUUAGGGUCGAAACGAUCUUAACCUAUUCUCAAACUUUAAAUGGGUAAGAACCUUAACUUUCUUGAUAUGAAGUUCAAGGUUAUGAUAUAAUGUGCCCAGUGGGCCACUUUUGGUAAGCAGAACUGGCGCUGUGGGAUGAACCAAACGUAAUGUUACGGUGCCCAAAUUAACAACUCAUGCAGAUACAUGAAAGGCGUUGGUUGCUUAAAACAGCAGGACGGUGAUCAUGGAAGUCGAAAUCCGCUAAGGAGUGUGUAACAACUCACCUGCCGAAGCAACUAGCCCUUAAAAUGGAUGGCGCUUAAGUUGUAUACCUAUACAUUACCGCUAAAGUAGAUGAUUUAUAUUACUUGUGAUAUAAAUUUUGAAACUUUAGUGAGUAGGAAGGUACAAUGGUAUGCGUAGAAGUGUUUGGCGUAAGCCUGCAUGGAGCUGCCAUUGGUACAGAUCUUGGUGGUAGUAGCAAAUAAUCGAAUGAGACCUUGGAGGACUGAAGUGGAGAAGGGUUUCGUGUGAACAGUGGUUGAUCACGAGUUAGUCGGUCCUAAGUUCAAGGCGAAAGCCGAAAAUUUUCAAGUAAAACAAAAAUGCCUAACUAUAUAAACAAAGCGAAUAUAUACACUUGAAUAAUUUUGAACGAAAGGGAAUACGGUUCCAAUUCCGUAACCUGUUGAGUAUCCGUUUGUUAUUAAAUAUGGGCCUCGUGCUCAUCCUGGCAACAGGAACGACCAUAAAGAAGCGUCGAGAGAUAUCGGAAGAGUUUUCUUUUCUGUUUUAUAGCCGUACUACCAUGGAAGUCUUUCGCAGAGAGAUAUGGUAGAUGGGCUAGAAGAGCAUGACAUAUACUGUUGUGUCGAUAUUUUCUCCUCGGACCUUGAAAAUUUAUGGUGGGGACACGCAAACUUCUCAACAGGCCGUACCAAUAUCCGCAGCUGGUCUCCAAGGUGAAGAGUCUCUAGUCGAUAGAAUAAUGUAGGUAAGGGAAGUCGGCAAAUUAGAUCCGUAACUUCGGGAUAAGGAUUGGCUCUGAAGAUUGAGAUAGUCGGGCUUGAUUGGGAAACAAUAACAUGGUUUAUGUGCUCGUUCUGGGUAAAUAGAGUUUCUAGCAUUUAUGUUAGUUACUUGUUCCCCGGAUAGUUUAGUUACGUAGCCAAUUGUGGAACUUUCUUGCUAAAAUUUUUAAGAAUACUAUUUGGGUUAAACAAUUAGUUCUUAUCAAUUAUAACGAUUAUCAAUUAACAAUCAAUUCAGAACUGGCACGGACUUGGGGAAUCCGACUGUCUAAUUAAAACAAAGCAUUGUGAUGGCCCUAGCGGGUGUUGACACAAUGUGAUUUCUGCCCAGUGCUCUGAAUGUCAAAGUGAAGAAAUUCAAGUAAGCGCGGGUCAACGGCGGGAGUAACUAUGACUCUCUUAAGGUAGCCAAAUGCUCGUCAUCUAAUUAGUGACGCGCAUGAAUGGAUUAACGAGCGUGUACUGUUGCGCUCGUGUACUAGAUUGCGAACAGCUUGGGGGGGUUUUGGAAAUAAUAAAUCGGUGAAUUAGUGCCUUGCGAAGUCUGUGCUGUAAGGAGUGUAAGGAGACAUAGAUUUGAAGAAAUUAAGAGAUUGUUGGGAAUUUUGGUAUAGCAGUGCUGAACCGAACUUCUUACUUACUUGAUUAACUUGAACGUGGAUCAUUUCUAUUUCCUAGCAUAUACGGAUAUAUUUAUUAUAUCUUAUGGUAUUGGGUUUUGAUGCAAGCUUCUUGAUCAAAGUAUCACGGUUUGUUAUAUAAUCGCAAACAAAUUCUUUAAUAAAACGAUGCAUUUAUGUAUUUUUGAUUUGAAAAUUUGGCUAUAACUCCAAUUACUCAGUAUUGAUCCAAUUCAAGGACAUUGCCAGGUGGGAGUUUGACUGGGGCGUACAUCUCUCAAAUAAUAACGGAGGUGUCCCAAGGCCAGCUCAGUGCGGACAGAAACCACACAUAGAGCAAAAGGGCAAAUGCUGACUUGAUCUCGGUGUCAGUACACACAGGGACAGCAAAAGCUCGGCCUAUCGAUCCUUUGGUUUAAAGAGUUUUUAACAAGAGGUGUCAGAAAAGUUACCAUAGGAUAACUGGCUUUGGCGGCAAGCGUUCAUAGCGACGUCGCUUUUGAUCCUUCGAUGUCCGGCUCUUCCUAUCAUGUGAAGCAAAAUUCACCAAGCGUUGGAUGUUACCCAUAACAAGGAACGUGAGCUGGUUUAGACCGUCGGAGACAGUAUAGUUUUACCUACUAAUGACAAAACGUUGUUGACAGCAUUCCUCGUAGUACGAAGGAACCGCAGACGACAAUGGCACAAUACUUGUUCGAGCGAAACAGUGGUAUGACGCUACGUCCGUUGGAUUAUGCCUGAACGCCUCUAAGGUGAUCCGUGACUGCAAUGAUAUAAUAGAGGGCAAUUGAUUGUAUGUCUAAACCAUUUAAAGUUUAUAAUUUAUUUUAUAAACGACAAUGGAUGUGAUGCCAAUGUAAUUGUACAUAGUAAAUUAGGAGGAUCUUCGAUCACCUGAUGCCGCGCUAGUUACAUUAAAAGCAUUAUUUAAUACAGACAAAGCCUAGAAUCAAUGUAAACGACUUUUGUAACAGGCAAGGUGUUGUAAGUGGUUGAAGCUGCCAUACUGCGAUCCACUGAAGCUUAUCCUUUGCUUGAUGAUUCGAU